GACGAACGCUGGCGGCGUGCUUAACGCAUGCAAGUCGAACGGAAAGGCCCUGCUUUUGUGGGGUGCUCGAGUGGCGAGCGGGUGAGUAACACGUGAGUAACCUGCCCUUGACUUUGGGAUAACUUCAGGAAACUGGGGCUAAUACCGGAUAGGAGCUCCUGCUGCAUGGUGGGGGUUGGAAAGUUUCGGCGGUUGGGGAUGGACUCGCGGCUUAUCAGCUUGUUGGUGGGGUAGUGGCUUACCAAGGCUUUGACGGGUAGCCGGCCUGAGAGGGUGACCGGCCACAUUGGGACUGAGAUACGGCCCAGACUCCUACAGGAGGCAGCAGUGGGGAAUAUUGCACAAUGGGCGGAAGCCUGAUGCAGCAACGCCGCGUGCGGGAUGACGGCCUUCGGGUUGUAAACCGCUUUCGCCUGUGACGAAGCGUGAGUGACGGUAAUGGGUAAAGAAGCACCGGCUAACUACGUG
rnacentral:rRNA from 1 species